UGUAAAAGUAUUACGUAAGUUCUUUUUCUUUUCUGUUAGCACGUGAUUCAGUGGAAAUUUCCGUUCAGAUUUCUUUCACUUUUGUUAAAACUCUGGCAGCGUGGUUGGCCAGUUGACUCAACGCUAAGCUACGGUAAGGGUGGUUGUGGCAGGAUGCGGAUGGUAACUUUUUAAAUGACUGAGAUUGAGACCCUGGGAUGGAGUCCUUCUCAUCUACAUGCUCUCUCAUGACAGACCCUGCAACCACUGUAAUCCCGUGGUAUUACGGCACAGAGGGAUUACGUCCACCUUAAAGGUAUAUUAUUAUCACCAUUUAUUCACUCUAACAUCAAACCUGCACCAAACUGCAUGAUAAACAAGCUCACUCCCAUCUACACCAUCACUUUAACAUCUACUAAGCUCAUUUCCAUGCUUGCAUGUUACAUCUUAACAAUCAGGGGUUCGUUCAACGACAGCGAGAACCUACCCCAUCUAUAACUCCACACCAUCCGUUAUCAGUCACUUGUCAUGUAACAACCACUCACACCAUUUAUAUGCACCUGAAAUAUUCCCAAACUAAAUGGAAUAAUUCUGUUUGGAGGUGCAUUUUCUGAAUGUAUGUAUUUUCUGUUCUUUAUUUACUGCAAUGGUGAAAUGCGGAACCAACUGCCAUUGGAAUACGCAAUAUGGAGUCCAAUGGAAACUGCACCAGUCAUUCCAGGGCCAUGAAGACUUCAUUGGAGCUGUGGUGAGCGGUGGUUGCUGUGAGGAAAACAACACUUACACAUUUUAAAGUUCAGGAAUAGAACCUGAAGCUGUUUUCUACGCCAUGAUGACGUCAUUGGAGCUCUGUUGGUAUGCUGUGAGGAAACGACACUCAU